UACGUAGGGCGCAAGCGUUAUCCGGAAUUAUUGGGCGUAAAGAGCUUGUAGGCGGUUCGUCGCGUCUGGUGUGAAAGCCCAUCGCUUAAUGGUGGGUCUGCGCCGGGUACGGGCGGGCUAGAGUGCAGUAGGGGAGACCGGAAUUCCCGGUGUAACGGUGGAAUGUGUAGAUAUCGGGAAGAACACCAAUGGCGAAGGCAGGUCUCUGGGCUGUUACUGACGCUGAGAAGCGAAAGCGUGGGGAGCGAACAGGAUUAGAUACCCUGGUAGUCAAGGGCGAAUUCGUU
rnacentral:rRNA from 1 species